AUGGCCAUGUCGCUCUCCCUCGCGCGCCUGGCCCUGCCGCCGGUCCUCCAGGCCCUCCCGGGCAGGAGGCCGGCCCACUCCGCCCUCGCCUUCCCGGCCAACUCAUUCUUCGGCGCGCCGCUGGCCGUGGCCGCCGCCGGCGCCGCCGCGCUGUCCCCGGCGGCCCCGCUCCCGCGCCCCCUCGCCGUCGUCGCCGCCGGGAAGGGGUACAAGAUGAAGACGCACAAGGCGUCGGCGAAGCGGUUCAGGGUGACGGGCACCGGGAAGAUCGUGCGGCGCUGCGCCGGGAAGCAGCAUCUGCUCAGCAAGAAGAACGCCAAGCGCAGGAAGAGGCUCUCCAAGAUGGUCCAAGUUAACAAGAGCGACUACAGCAACGUGAUGGGUGCGCUGCCCUACCUCAAAGUGAACAAGAAAGCAGGCUGA
rnacentral:rRNA from 1 species